CUUUUUGAGCUUGACGUUAUAGACAGAGGUUGUACAAUGCCCAUGACAACCGAAAAAACAUAUGAAACUCUCACUAUCAAGCUACAAAGUUUCUACUCAAAAUUCCAGAUAAAAUGAUUACUAUACUGGUCAUUUUAUUUUGCAUGGAAAGAAAUCAUGCUUUUCCUGAAUUGAUCAACAUCUCUCCUUCCUAGAGAAGGAAUGAAGAAACAAGAAUUGCGCCACCCACUCCUGAAAGAGAUAAUAGAAGCGAAAACAAAGCUUGCUUGCAGUGAAAGCUCGACCAUACAAUGUGACAUAUAUAGCUAAAUUUUGAUAACCCACACCAAUCUCAUAUACUUGGGUCGCCACAUUAAAGUUUUUAUUUUUUUGGUGUACAACGAUUGUGAAUUGUGUCUCUGUGCGACUGUGCCUAUGGUGUGGCAUGUAAAACUGCACCUGGUA